rnacentral:rRNA from 1 species
UACGAAGGGGGCGAGCGUUGUUCGGAUUUACUGGGCGUAAAGGGCGCGCAGGCGGCGCAUUUUGUCAGGCGUGAAAGCCCCGGGCUUAACCUGGGAACUGCCUUUGUGACUGCAAGGCUUGAGUGCGGCAGAGGGGGAUGGAAUUCCGCGUGUAGCAGUGAAAUGCGUAGAUAUGCGGAGGAACACCGAUGGCGAAGGCAAUCCCCUGGGCCUGCACUGACGCUCAUGCACGAAAGCGUGGGGAGCAAACAGG